rnacentral:rRNA from 1 species
CGACCGGAUGCGGAUCUCGAAAGCCUGUCCCAGUUCGGACUGGAGUCUGCAACCCGACUCCACGAAGUUGGAUUCGCUAGUAAUCGCGCAUCAGCCAUGGCGCGGUGAAUACGUUCCCGGGCCUUGUACACACCGCCCGUCAAGCCAUGGGAGCCGGGGGCGCCUGAAGUCCGGGACCGCGAGGACCGGCCUAGGGCGAAACUGGUAACUGGGGCUAAGUCGUAACAAGGUAUC